rnacentral:rRNA from 1 species
AUUGAACGCUGGCGGCAUGCCUUACACAUGCAAGUCGAACGGUAACGGGCCUUCGGGUGCCGACGAGUGGCGAACGGGUGAGUAAUACAUCGGAACGUGCCCGAUCGUGGGGGAUAACGAGGCGAAAGCUUUGCUAAUACCGCAUACGAUCUACGGAUGAAAGCAGGGGACCGCAAGGCCUUGCGCGGACGGAGCGGCCGAUGGCAGAUUAGGUAGUUGGUGGGAUAAAAGCUUACCAAGCCGACGAUCUGUAGCUGGUCUGAGAGGAUGAUCAGCCACACUGGGACUGAGACACGGCCAAGACUCCUACGGGAGGCAGCAGUGGGGAAUUUUGGACAAUGGGCGCAAGCCUGAUCCAGCCAUGCCGCGUGCAGGAUGAAGGCCUUCGGGUUGUAAACUGCUUUUGUACGGAACGAAAAGCCUUCUUUUAAUACAGGAGGGUCAUGACGGUACCGUAAGAAUAAGCACCGGCUAACUACGUG